GGGUGGGGGGCUGGGGGAAUGAAGCUAAUCGCUGGCCACUGCCUGAAUCACCACCAUUAGGGCAGAUAAUCACCCCUGCCCUUCCCAGCUGCUUUCAUCUGGGGCUCCCAAGGCCCUCAUUAGAGUCACUAGACCAGGGCAAUGACAGGGGACUGGCUGGGCCGGUUGACUGGUGGUGGACACAGCCAGGCAGGGUGGCCUCAGGCUGGGGUUGAGGCCUGGCUCUGCUGCGUGACCUGAGACAGUUGCUGCUUCUAUCUGGGCCUCAGUUUCCCCAUCUGGGCAGUGAUGGAGUGACAGAUGGUUGGUUGCUGGCUCUGUGUGGGUUGGACUUGGAGGUCUUCUGUCCUUCAUUAAUUCAGUGGUUAUUGGGCAACUCUUGAAUGCUGUACUGGGCACAAGGGACACAGGGUGACCAGGACAGCUCACCUUCAUGGGGUUCCAGAACAGAGGGUAAAGCGGUUAAACAUGUAAUAUAAUUUCAGAGGGGACCACAUGUGGUGCAAAGAAAAUGAAAACAGGGCAAUGUACAAGAGGUGACUGGGGGACUGCUUUAUCUGGGAGGUCUUGGGGGCCUCUCCAAGGAGGUGGGCUUGGUUGAGCCUAUUAUCAAGAAAAGGAGCUGACCAUGCACAAGAGGAGCCAGGGGCCUGGCUGAGGGAACAGCAGGUGCAAGGCCCCAUGGGGGUGGGGUGAGCUUGUUAUCUCAGGUAUCCAAGUACAAACUGAAAACUAGAGGGCAAAACCUUGACUCCAGAUUAGACCUCCAUGCACAGAUUUGACCCCAUGAAGGUGAGCCGUCUCUGGUCACCAGUAUGUCCCUAAUACCCAGCACAGCAUAUAAGAGGUGCCCAGAUUAGACCCCAGUGCAUGGCUGAGGGUGUGUGUGGCUCAUCCUGAAGUCCUGCUUCGCUGGACAGGAAACAUUGGCUCAGAGCCGGGCAGAGCUCGCCCAGGGUCACCCACCGACGGAUGGGGCCUGAAGCUGCCUCUGCUCCUUCUCAGGCCUGUUUCCCCCCUUGGGAAGUGGGCACAGUCAGCACCCAGUAUCAUCACAAAGGCCCUCAUAAGAGGAAAGCAGGAGGGUCAGAGUCAGAGAUGGAAGAGGCUGUGCUGCUGGCUGUGAAGAUAUAGAGGAAGGGGCCAUGAGCCAGGGAUGUGGCGCCUCUAGAAGCUAGAAAAGGCCAGAAAUGGUUCUGGCCUAAGGAAGGACCAGUCCUGCCCACACCUGGCCUUACCCCCCAAGAUUAUGUAAGACACCCGGCCCCAGAACUGCUGUGUGGGCUUAGUGGGGUAUAGUGCUUGGCAUAGAGUUGGCACUCAAACAGUGUAAGCAGGUACCAAGUUGAAUGCACUGUGCUAUAAACACCCCUGUCCCACCUUCAGGCCUUUGCCUGGGCAGUGCCUCCCUUCUGGGGUUUCAUCUCCCUAUAACCGAGUGGCUGCAGCUGGCUGAGUUGUCAGGGCCGGACAUGGCAAAGGCCAUGAGAACUGUGGGGGAAGCUGCACGGCCCAUGGUCACUGCUACACUCAAUACUUGUUCUUACUGAAAUCAACAGCUCACUCAGGCAAGCACCUAACUCCUCUGGCUUGGUUUUCUCAUCCCUGACCUAACCAGGACUCUCCCCUGCUCCACAGCUUGCUCUGGUUCCCCAGUACCCUUUGGGGAAAGCCCGGCUAUUCCCCACUUACAUCCAAUGUGUCAGGGGCACAUCCUGGGGUCAGGCCGUGUAGGCCCCGGUGUAUUCCCAUACCCAGCACAGGGCCAGGCACACAGGUGGUGCUUGGUGAAUGUCACUUGAAUGACUGAAUGAGGGAGCACAUGGGAAGCAGACGGUGGCUGAGGGCCCUGACCGAGCCCUUCCCAGCAGGCAUCAUGGAGAUCCGCUCCAUCCGCGUGGGCGUCGUGGCCCUCAAGGCUGUGCACACCGGCUUCUUCGUGGCCAUGAGCCGCCGGGGCCACCUCUAUGGGUCGGUUCCAGGAGCGCAUUGAGGAGAACGGCUACAACACCUACGCCUCGCUUCGCUGGCGUCACCGAGGCCGGCCCAUGUUCCUGGCGCUGGACAGGCGGGGGGUCCCUCGACGCGGUGGCCGGACACGGCGGCACCAC